GACGAACGCUGGCGGCGUGCCUAAUACAUGCAAGUCGAACGAAACUUUCUUACACCGAAUGCUUGCAUUCACCGUAAGAAGUUGAGUGGCGGACGGGUGAGUAACACGUGGGUAACCUGCCUAAAAGAAGGGGAUAACACUUGGAAACAGGUGCUAAUACCGUAUAUCUCUAAGGAUCGCAUGAUCCUUAGAUGAAAGAUGGUUCUGCUAUCGCUUUUAGAUGGACCCGCGGCGUAUUAACUAGUUGGUGGGGUAACGGCCUACCAAGGUGAUGAUACGUAGCCGAACUGAGAGGUUGAUCGGCCACAUUGGGACUGAGACACGGCCCAA
rnacentral:rRNA from 1 species